rnacentral:rRNA from 1 species
GGUGAAAUGCGUAGAUAUCUGGAGGAACAUCAGUGGCGAAGGCGACUCCCUGGCCAAAGACUGACGCUCAUGUGCGAAAGUGUGGGUAGCGAACAGGAUUAGAUACCCUGGUAGUCCACACCGUAAACGCUGUCUACUAGCUGUGUGUGUCUUUAAGACGUGCGUAGCGAAGCUAACGCGCUAAGUAGACCGCCUGGGGAGUACGGCCGCAAGGUUAAAACUCAAAUGAAUUGACGGGGGCCCGCACAAGCGGUGGAGCAUGUGGUUUAAUUCGAUGCAACGCGAAGAACCUUACCUACACUUGACAUGCUGAGAAGUUACUAGAGAUAGUUUCGUGCCUUCGGGAACUCAGACACAGGUGCUGCAUGGCUGUCGUCAGCUCGUGUCGUGAGAUGUUGGGUUAAGUCCCGCAACGAGCGCAACCCUUGUCCUUAGUUGCCAGCCUUAAGUUGGGCACUCUAAGGAGACUGCCGGUGACAAACCGGAGGAAGGUGGGGGACGACGUCAAGUCAUCAUGGCCCNUUACGUGUAGGGGCUACACACGUGCUACAAUGGCAUUUACAGAGGGAAGCGAGACAGUGAUGUGGAGCGGACCCCUUAAAGAAUGUCGUAGUCCGGAUUGGAGUCUGCAACUGGNCUCCAUGAAGUCGGAAUCGCUAGUAANGGCAGGUCAGAAUACUGCGGUGAAUACGUUCCCGGGCCUUGUACACACCGCCCGUCACACCAUGGGAGUGGGAUGCAAAAGAAGUAGUUAGUCUAACCUUCGGGAGGACGAUUACCACUUUGUGUUUCAUGACUGGGGUGAAGUCGUAACAAGGUAACC